UGUAGACGGCGCAAUACUUUUUUGUAAACGUUGUUUCAGCACUGUGGACCUUAGAGGCUUGCUAAAGAAAACGGCCAAUUCGGAUGAUUGUUUGAAACAUUUUGAAGGGAAUCAUCAUAGCUUUGAACAUUGGACCGAUUGCGUUAAGUAAUUAGGCUUGCCUACUUAUUGUUUAGAACCGAUUGCAUGAUCACGCUUGGGGAGCGUGACCAUGUGGCCAACAAUGACUACCAAAGCGCGCACUUUAUCAGAACUUUUGCAGAGACAGUACGCAUUUUACGCGUGUCUCACUUUAAUUUUACAAUUUGCAAAGCCCGGCGAAGGUUGCAAUUCUCAAAGUGUAGGCGUCUUGCUUCUCUGUAGGGCUUGUGGACAUGAAUUGGCAUUUGAAAGAGAUGCCAAGUUCGUACCUAGUCGACUUGCGCUUUCACAUAGAAAUGACACAGUGCUUGGGGAUAAAAUAGUCCCCGUCCAGCUGUUCGAAAACCCACAUGGUCAUCAAUUUGAAGUUAUGACAUUCACAAGGGCUGACGUUUUCAAACACUUUCCUGCAGAUAAGCACUUUUCCUGGUAUCCUGGAUACUCAUGGGCUAUAGCCACAUGCAGAACAUGCCACACGCACCUUGGUUGGGCGUUUCAGCCAAAUAACUGGUCGAGGACAGUCACACAAGGAGAGUUCGAAGAAUCAGAGCACACCUUUCUAGCUUUGAUCACUCACCGAUUACUGAAAGAAGAUUUCGCAUCUUCACUUCUUAUUAUUCCCAAAGCAUUAAGAGCAUGACUUGUCUGUAACCUUGACCUUGUCAGAAUUGCAAAUAAAAAUCUAAUGUUUUAUUGCCAGUUUGCAUUACUGUCACUCACUGUUCUAGUUUUCGACUUUUUAAAAAACAUCCAUAAGAUCACACGCAUACACAUUACGUUUUAUUGUAACAAAGCAACUUGUACACCUCAAAUUUAAAACAUAAUUUUCCCAGCAGAAAAGAAAAUGGUGACCAGAUGUAAAUUCCAUGAGUAAACCAGUCAUUUUCCAAUAAGUAGUGGGGGCCAAAAUGUACAAGUGUUUCUCUUUUUUUUUCGGUUUUGUGUUCUUUAUUAAAAAUGUCAUCUCAUGGAUAUCUGUAAAACAAUACAAUGAAAAUCAAAACAAA